CAUCCUGGGGCUGUAGUCGGUCCCAAGGGUUGGGCUGUUCGCCCAUUAAAGCGGUACGCUAGCUGGGUUCAGAACGUCGUGAGACAGUUCGGUCCCUAUCCGUCGUGGGCGUAGGAAAUUUGAGAGGAGCUGUCCUUAGUACGAGAGGACCGGGAUGGACAUACCUCUGGUGUACCAGUUGUCGUGCCAACGGCAUAGCUGGGUAGCUAUGUAUGGACGGGAUAAGUGCUGAAAGCAUCUAAGCAUGAAGCCCCCCUCAAGAUGAGAUUUCCCAACUUCGGUUAUAAGAUCCCUCGAAGAUGACGAGGUUAAUAGGUUCGAGGUGGAAGCGUGGUGACACGUGGAGCUGACGAAUACUAAUCGAUCGAAGACUUAAUCAAUAUU
rnacentral:rRNA from 1 species